ACUAUUAAAUAGCCGCAAUUCGUGCUAAGGUAGCAUAAUCAUUUGUCUUUCAAAUGAAGACUAGAACAAAAGAUUUAACAUUUAAAUAAACUUAUUUAUUUUAAACCUUAAAAUUAUCUUUAGCGUAAAAAGACUCUAAUGUUAAAAAAAGACGACAAGACCCUAUUGAACUUAACUUUAGUUAGACUGGGGCAGUAAAUCAAUUAUUAUUUUAAUUUAAAUAAAUAUUUAAACAUCCUUUACAAUUGAAUCAUCCAGUUACCAUAGGGAUAACAGCAUAAUUUUAUUCAAAAGCUCUUAUAUAAAAUAUAGAUUAUGACCUCGAUGUUGAAUUAAUAACCUAUUUUCUAAAGCAAAUUUUAAAAAAGGAAGUCUGUUCGACUUUUAAAAAAUUACAUGAUUUGAGUUCAGACCGGCAUAAGCCAGGUCGGCUUCUAUCUUUUAAUAAAACCUUUACAGUACGAAAGGACCUAAAGAUUUAAUUUCAAUUAUUAUAUUGGCAGAUAAAUGCAUUAGAAUUAGAAUCUAAUCAAUCUACAA
rnacentral:rRNA from 1 species